AUUGAACGCUGGCGGCAGGCCUAACACAUGCAAGUCGAGCGGAAGCACGGUGAGUGCUCGCGCUUACAGGUGGCGACGGGCGGGUGAUUCAUAGGUACAUCCCCAUCUACUGGGGCUUGGGUCAGGACGUGGGCGCACAUACCCUAAAAGCGCAUACGUCGAACGGGGGGGAUCAUCGGACCUUCCGACCUUGGAUGAUACUAUGUCGGAUUAGCUAGUUGGUGAGGUAAAGGCCUACCAAGGCGACGAUCCGUAGCUGGUCUGAGAGGAUGAUCAGCCACACUGGAACUGAGACACGGUCCAGACUCCUACGGGAGGCAGCAGUGGGGAAUAUUGGACAAUGGGCGAAAGCCUGAUCCAGCCAUGCCGCGUGUGUGAAGAAGGUCUUCGGAUUGUAAAGCCCUUUUAUUUGGGAAGAAAAGCAGUAGGUUAAUACCUUGCUGUUUUGACGGUACCAAAAGAAUAAGCACCGGCUAACUUCGUG
rnacentral:rRNA from 1 species